GCAGUGCGGGGCUGGAGCAUCGAUCCCCAGGGGCCGGAGAGGGACCCGCAGUGGGGGCACACAGGGAGCUGUGUGCGGGAAAAAUGAAUAAAGAACCCACGCCCACUGAGCAAACAACAACAAAACCCCGGGUUGGAAGGGAAAUGGGCUGGUUUUGUUACAUCUGAGCGGCUCUGACCAGAUGUUUGAAGCCACGGAAGCACUGGGUGAUAGUUCUCCUUUUUAUGCAAAAAAUAAAACAAAACAAAAUCUAAAACAAAACAGAACAAACAAACAAA